GAAGAAAACCUCAAUUGAGAAAAUGCCUCCAUAAGAUCAGGUUGUAAGGCAUUUUCUUAGUUAAUGACUGAUGCAGGAGGGCCCAGCCCAUUGAAGGUGGUGCUAUACCUGGGCUGGUGGUUCUAGGUUCUAUAAGAAAGCAGGCUGAGCAAGCCACGAGGAGCAAGCCAGUAAGCAGCAUCCCUCCAUGUCCUCUGCAUCAGCUCCUGCCUCCAAGUUCCAACCCUUCUUGAGUUCCUGCCCUGACUUCCUUCAGUGAUGGACUACAAUGUGGAAGGGAAGUGGGCUGAUCCUUCUGUCAUUUGCUGAAGAGUUCCACUUUCUCCUUCUUUCCGAAACACCAUCAUUCCUGACAAAAACCCGAACGCACCCACCAUCUCAAGCACUGGUCCCUUGAGCUGACGAGCCGACUGUGGGUUUGAUCAGAUGCAUGAAGGGAGGGGCAGCGUGUGAGAGACUAGCCACCAUUUUUUGAUCUCUGAACUAAAAAUUUCGAGAAAGAAAUUAUUAUAUUGCAAAAAAAAUAUUACUUUUUGCUUAUACCAGAAGACAUUCUUCAUAUUUGGAGCUUAGUUACUCUGUGUAAAAAUUCCUGGUAAAUUAUUAGCUCUUGUUUCAUCUUGGACAGUAAAUAUUUGAACACUCAUAAUUCCCUCAUCAAGGGCUUUUCUAGCUCUGUUUAUGUCACCAAGUGGAAAUGCCUUUGGCCCACUGAAGAUGUAUUUAGCCCUUUCAAGAUCCUGACAACCAACGGUUCCAAAACAAGACAUAAUUUUACUCUUGCAUCGAGGAUACAACUUCUGAAAAAGAUGACACAGAGACCAGCUAGUCCUUUGAAGGGGAAAAAUGAUCUGUAGUAUCCUAUAAUCACAGUGUGGAAAAUUGAGAUAUGCUUCCAGAAAAUUAGUCAUGUUCUUGUGAAACUGGGAUAAUUCUUAUUUCUUUCACCCCUGGACACAUGCCAGUAAUCUAAAGAUGAGUGAAGAAUAUCCCUUGUCCCCACUGCAUUCCUCAGCCAUGAAACAUUGAUGUAACAAAAACAUAGCAGUAAUAGUAAGAAAGAGCACAGAUGUAAUAUGUAGUAAUAAUAAUCAUAAUAAAGAGCAUAGAUAUAAUAUGUAGUAAUAGUAAUAAAGAGCACAGACGUAAUAUGUAGUAACAGUAAUAAAGAGCACAGAUGUAAUAUGUAGUAAUAGUAAUAAAGAGCACAGAUGUAAUAUGCAGUAAUAGUAAUAAAGAGCACAGAUGUAAUAUGUAGUAAUAGUAAUAAAGAGCACAGAUGUAAUAUGUAGUAAUAGUAAUAAAGAGCACAGAUGUAAUAUGUAGUAACAGUAAUCAUAAUAAAGAGCAUAGAUGUAAUUUGUAGUAAUAGUAAUAAAGAGCACAGAUGUAAUAUGUAGUAGUAGUAAUAAAAAACACAGAUGUAAUAUGUAGUAAUAGUAAUAAAGAGCAUGAACAACAUAGCAUUGUUUCAAUCAAUGAGAGACCACAUACACAGUGAUGGACCUCUAAGAUUGUAUUGGAACUGGAAAAUUCUUGCAGCCUAGUGACAUUAAUAUCACAGCACAAUGCAUCACACAUGUUUAUGACCAUACUUGUGUGAACAAAACCAUCACUCUGGCCAGGCACAGGUGGCACACGCCUUUAAUCCCAGCACUCGGGAGGCAGAGCCAGGCAGAUCUCUGUGAGUUCAAGGUCAGCCUGGCCUACAGAGUGAGAUCCAAGACAGGCACCAAAACUAUACAGAGAAACCCUGUCUCCAAAAACAACAAAACAACAAAAAACAAAAAAAACACCACUCUGGCAGUUCGGCAAAUGCACACAAUGAAUACUGUACACAUACACGAUACUUGAUAACGGUAAUGCCCGUCAUUUCAGGACAGUCAUGGCAGGAACUCACACAGCUAGCCGCAUCACAUCCACGGUGGGAAGCAGACCGAAUCUCAUCCAUCCAUGCUGCCCACCUUCUUGUGCUCAGCUUCCUUCUUUCACUCCUGUGCAGUUCAGGGCCAAAGCCCACACAAUGGCACCACUUGUGUUCAGAGUGGAUUUUCCCACCUCUGUUAGCAAUCAAGAAAAUCCCCCACAGACAUGCCCAUAGGCCAUCCUCAUCUAGAUAAUUCCUCAUUCAGACUCUCUUCCGGGGUGAUUCUAGGUUAUGUCAAGCAGACAGUUAAAAUUGAGCAGCACAAUUUCUUUUAUUGAGAAGGGGAAAAAAAUAAAAGCGUACUGUAAACACGCUGUGUGGCACUCCAGCAGACCCUUUCAUCCUGUUUUAUGUGUACGGUGUGUGUUGAUAGCAUCAUUCUCUGGUGCUUAUUGAAUCGCAUGUUUUGUUCAUCAUGGACCCUAAAUAUAAAAAUCCACUGCUAAUGUUGCUAGCAAGAGGUCACAUGGAGUAAUUGACCUGGAAAUGAAAUUUAAAGUGAUUAAGGGCUAUGAAGGUGGAAAAUCAAUGAUGGUUAUUGCUCUCCAGUCAAGCAUGCCCUGGUUCACAGCUACAAUCUUGAAAAAUGUGAACAAAGGGAUCGAAGCUAUUUAAGAAUCUGAUUUGUGGAAGGCAAUGGAGACUGGAAGCUGGGCAUGGUAAUCCCAGCACUUGGGAGACAGAAACAAGAAGAUCGAUGUUUUGGUCAUCCUUGGCUACAUGAGGAGUUCAAGGCCAACCUGGACUCUGCAAAACCCUAUUUCCCAAAACUGAAAACUACCUAGAAACUCUAUACUAAACUACUAAAAACUCUAUAAAAUUUGGAAAACCUCCAAAGGCUUGGAUUGAAGGCCAGACAGAACUGCAGCUCUCUCAGAAGAAAGACCAUCAGGGCCGUUUGCUAUGUUGAAACUGGGCCCACCCACGUGUUGAGGUUCCAGGUUGGUGCGAGCUAGUCAAGGAGUGGUAUUUGUUAAUUUGAUGUUGGAAUGAACAGUGAGUCUCCCGGGGCUGAUGACUCUUGGACACUCUGGGCAAGCUGAUUGUAGAAGGGAACUACUUGUCAGAGCAAGAUCUUCAGUAUGGAUGAUGCCUCUUUGUUCUGGAAAUGGAGGCCUCGAACAGCUCCGUCUACAUGGAGGUAGAGUUGGUGGCCUCUUCAAGGCUUUAAGGCAAGUUAAGAGUCUUCCUUAAGAGCAGUGUUGCUGUAAGUUGCAAAUCAAGGUCCUUUGUGACCUGGCACGGUGAGGAUACCAGGACCUUCUAGCGUGACCUUCCACUGUGUCAAUACACACACCACUGGUGACCUUUAGGAACAGAAAGAGGUCAAAUGCAAUCCAUCUCCUCUUCCAGGUGCCCCACCAAAUCACUAAGCCAGAAAAACAAGACCAUUUGGAGAACACAGUUUUUGAUAUUUUGCUUGUGUAGAUGUGUGUACACAAGUUGACUCCAUGAUGUCCCCACAAGGGGGUUAACUGCCUGAUGAUGCAUUUCAAAUUCAGCAGCAUGUGACUAUACUCUUGCUCCAGGCACUUAUUCCAAGCACUUUGCAUCUAUCCACACCUGUGAGGUGGGGACUCUUAGUCUCAUUUUACAGGUGAGCAAACUGAGUCACAGAGGGUUGAAGUCGUGGCCAAUCAACGUCAGAACUCAGAGAGUCCAGCUACAAACGCUCACGAUCGCGGCGGUAUCUUUGCUUUGAAGUUUGCCAGCAAGUCUAAAGGCUAGUUUAGAAGUUCCCAGAGGCAAGCUUGAGCUUGCUUUCAGGGGCUUGGGAGGCACAACUUUCAGUCAUCCACACUGUGCUAGCUUGGUUCCCAGCAACUGCACACCCCUGAGAUCUUUAUAACUGAUGUGUUCACUUGAAUCGGUCACUCUGAAUUCUCACCAGCAUGUUGGCCCCAAAUGUCCACAUGACACCAGGCUAGGCUCGCGGCUAUGCGAAGUCCCGAGCUAGAGCUACCUUUGUUUCUUCCCUUCCCACCCAUCUGCAGCAGUUGUCCAGUCUUCCGACUUACUGUUUCAUAGUGCUGCUUUGGGCUCAGUAAGUCUCACAGAUAUGAAGCCUGGCUCGUUUGCCAGGGCUUGUUUGCAAAGGCCAGUGCUGUUUUUAGUACAGUGCCCUGCUCAGAAACUCCCCAGGGAUCAGAGGAGAGGCGUGUGCAUGGAAAUCUUUCUCCACACAUCACCAGUCUGAGGCAUAAUUUGUAAGCACGCACACACAAUGCAUCCAACGGUCACAGGUUUCCGCCCCUACUUCUGGAAUAUCGGAACUGAGAAAAACAUUCAGAGCCUGAGCUGGGCUCUCGCCGCUGAAGCAGAAAUUUCAGGCCAUUCUCUAGGUCUUCCUUAAUCCACUUUCUGCCCAGUGAAUAUCCCAAGAAGAACUGGACAAAGAUAAAUCAUUUCGCCUUGGAAACUUAUCAGGCUGGGGGGAAACAAAAAGAGCAGCCGCCUUCCAGAACUAGAAAAUCACGUUAGCCUGAGGUACUGGGUUUGUUUAUUUCCUUUAUCUCAGGGAUAAAUUUCAUUGUGAAGGCUGGGUCUGACUGAAUGGUCCAAGAAGUCCUGAACGUGAAGAAAGUGCCAGAAAUAAUAAAGAAAUGUGUUUGCUAUUGCAGUAGUCCAAACUGGGUUUCAGAAGGGAUUAUAUUUGGUUUUUAUUUGCAGGGAGAGAGAAAGUGUGAAUCAUAUAGGUUUUAAAUAAUGAUUGUGCAACCUCAGCUCUUUCUCAGGGCAUGCAGAAUUCUUUGCCAACUUCAGAAAGCCCAGAGAGUAAUUGAUUUAACAAGACUGAAGCAAUAUUGCUUUUUCUGCAACUUACGGUGUAAACAAAUAUUUCCUCUUAAAACACUUCUGAUAUUUGAUUUAAUAACAUCCAUCGAAUUGCAUGAAAACAGA